GACGAACGCUGGCGGCGUGCUUAACACAUGCAAGUCGAACGGAAAGGCCCUGCUUGCAGGGUACUCGAGUGGCGAACGGGUGAGUAACACGUGGGUGAUCUGCCCUGCACUUCGGGAUAAGCCUGGGAAACUGGGUCUAAUACCGGAUAGGAGCCAUUUUUAGUGUGAUGGUUGGAAAGUUUUUUCGGUGUAGGAUGAGCUCGCGGCCUAUCAGCUUGUCGGUGGGGUAAUGGCCUACCAAGGCGGCGACGGGUAGCCGGCCUGAGAGGGUGGACGGCCACAUUGGGACUGAGAUACGGCCCAGACUCCUACGGGAGGCAGCAGUGGGGAAUAUUGCACAAUGGGCGCAAGCCUGAUGCAGCGACGCCGCGUGGGGGAUGACGGCCUUCGGGUUGUAAACUCCUUUCGCUAGGGACGAAGCUUUUUAUGACGGUACCUAGAGAAGAAGCACCGGCUAACUACGUG
rnacentral:rRNA from 1 species